rnacentral:rRNA from 1 species
GACGAACGCUGGCGGCGUGCUUAACACAUGCAAGUCGAACGGAAAGGCCCUGCUUUUGUGGGGUGCUCGAGUGGCGAACGGGUGAGUAACACGUGAGUAACCUGCCCUUGACUUUGGGAUAACUUCAGGAAACUGGGGCUAAUACCGGAUAGGAGCUCCUGCUGCAUGGUGGGGGUUGGAAAGUUUCGGCGGUUGGGGAUGGACUCGCGGCUUAUCAGCUUGUUGGUGGGGUAGUGGCUUACCAAGGCUUUGACGGGUAGCCGGCCUGAGAGGGUGACCGGCCACAUUGGGACUGAGAUACGGCCCAGACUGCUACGGGAGGCAGCAGUGGGGAAUAUUGCACAAUGGGCGGAAGCCUGAUGCAGCAACGCCGCGUGCUGGAUGACGGCCUUCGGGUUGUAAACCGCUUUCGCCUGUGACGAAGCGUGAGUGACGGUAAUGGGUAAAGAAGCACCGGCUAACUACGUG